rnacentral:tRNA from 1 species
GUUGAGAUGGCCAAGUUGGUCUAAGUCGCUAGAUUAAGGUUCUGGUCUGAAAGGGCGUGGGUGUGGGUUCAAAACCCACUCUCAACA